GGAAGGUUUGAAAAAAAAUAGAAGAGGAAUGACGUGGUGCCUGGUGGUGUAGAGAGAGAAUGGCGAUAAUAGAAAUGGGUAUGAGGGGUAUGGCAGUAUAUAUGUAGGAGUUGGUGAUGUGCAUGAGUAUGGAAGGGUAGUGGGCAUGAGGAUAGGAAUCAUGAAAGUGAGAGGAAGAUGUCGACAUGAAACGGGUAAUGGAAAGGGUUCAAUGGGUUUAGGAAGAAGUGGUGGCAUGCAUGGGCAUGGAAAUGGGUAUAUGCAGUGUGGAUAUAGGAUAUGGUGGAGCGAGCAAAGCGGUUCAGCAUACUGACAGUGAGCAAGGCACGGGUGCGGUGAUAUGUAUGGUGAAUGAGGGGUUCAAUGAGAGAGGUUUUGAAUAGUGGAGUGAAUGAGAGGUAUGUG
rnacentral:lncRNA from 1 species